rnacentral:misc_RNA from 1 species
GAUGAAGAACGUAGCAAAAUGCGAUACUUGGUGUGAAUUGCAGAAUCCCGUGAACCAUCGAGUCUUUGAACGCAAGUUGCGCCCGAAGCCACUAGGCCGAGGGCACGCCUGCCUGGGCGUCACACGUCGUUGCCCCCCCAUCUACUCCUUCGGGAUUGCGGGGGGGCGGAUGAUGGCCUCCCGUGCGCCUAGCCGCGCGGUUGGCAUAAAUACCAAGUCCUCGGCGACGCACGCCACGACAAUCGGUGGUUGCGAAACCUCGGUUGCCCGUCGUGUGCGUUCGUCGCGCAUCGAGGGCUCGAAAAAAUGCUCGGCUCCGGCUGGGCUUUCAACGCGACCCCAGGUCAGGCGGGGUUACCCGCUGAAUUUAAGCAUAUCAAUAAGCGGAGGA